rnacentral:rRNA from 1 species
GACGAACGCUGGCGGCGUGCCUAAUACAUGCAAGUAGGACGCAGUUGCGAACGGGUGAGUAACGCGUAGGUAACUACCUAUUAGAGGGGGAUAACUAUUGGAAACGAUAGCUAAUACCGCAUACUAGUAGAUGGACCUGCGUUGUAUUAGCUAGUAGGUAUGGUAAUGGCCUACCUAGGCAACGAUACAUAGCCGCCCUGGGAGGGGGACCCGGCACCCUGUGACUGGGACACGGCCCCGUAUCCUACGGGAGGCAGCAGUAGGGAAUCUUCGGAAAUGGGGGGAACCCUGACCGAGCAACGCCGCGUGAGUGAAGAAGGUUUUCGGGUCGUAAAGCUCUGUUGUUAAGGAAGCGGUACUUAACCAGAAAGGGACGGCUAACUACGUGCCAGCAGCCGCGUUAAUUC